AAAAUAAAUAGAGAUCAUCGCCAACAACCUAUGGGUAGAGCAUUCAAAUGUAAAAGCUGCGGAUAUCAACACCCUCCACGUCGUUGUCCAGCAUAUGGCAAACAAUGUAAUUAUUGCAAGAAGAUGAACCAUUUUUCUACUGUCUGUAGGAAUCGAAUGAAGGAUCACAACAUAAAGGGAAUACAGCAGAAUCCUCAGCAAGAAACAAAUCAAGAAUAUACAUUGGGUACAGUAUACACUGACUGGACAUUGCAGGAAUAGGAGAACUGAAGGAUUAUGUUUAUGAUUUCAAGUUGAUCCCGAACUACACAGGGAAAGUAAUUCCUUGUCGACCGGUGCCCAUGAAGCUAUUGGAUGCAUAUAAAAAAGAGUUGCAAACUAUGGAGGAAAAUAAAAUAAUAAGAAGAAUAGAAGAACCCACAGAUUUUGUAAAUGCAGUGGUAAUAGUAAGAAAAAAUGAUAAUUCGCUUCGCAUAUGUCUUGACCCACAAUAUCUCAAUUCUUGUCUAUUAAGGGAACAUUUUAAAUUACCAACAUUUGAAGAAAUUGCUGCAAAAAUGGCAAACGCUAAGGUAUUCAGUAAAUUAGACUGUAGUAAAGCGUUCUAUCAAUUGAAAUUAAGUGAAACCAGUUCAAAACUAACCACCUUUCAAACACCAUUUGGUAGGUAUUGUUUUUUAAGAAUGCCAUACGGAGUAAAGGUAGCAUCAGAGGUUUACCAUAAACAGUUUUCUCGCCUGUUUGAAGGCAUUCCAAAUGUAGAAAUUUUUGUAGACGACCUAAUUUUAUGGGCUGAUAGUGAAGCUGAACAUGAGAAAAUUUUACACAGAAUAUUACAAAAAGCUUCAGAGCAUAAUAUUACAUUUAAUGCAGACAAAUGUAUAUUUAAAACUAACAAAUUAAAAUUUUUGGGACAUGUUUUCACUGAUAAAGGAAUUUAUAUUGAUGAGGAUAAAAUAGACAGCAUAAUAAAAAUGGAGAAACCAACAGAUGUAACAGGCAUUCAAAAGCUAUUGGGUAUCAUUACAUAUGUUUCUAAAUUUAUUCCCAAUGUAUCUGAACUAACAGCUCCUCUAAGAUCAUUAUUAAAAAAGGACAAGGAUUGGGAAUGGGGUCUAGAGCAAGAAAAAUCUUUCAAGGAAAUCAAAGAGCUUUUAACUUCCUCCCCAGUAUUGCAAUAUUACAAUCCAAACUUACCAUGUUUAUUAAGUGUAGAUGCAAGUAGUAAUGGUGUGGGUGCAGUUUUAUUACAAAAUGGAUUUCCAGUAGCCUAUGCAUCCAAAGCAUUCACAGACACACAAAAAUCAUGGGCACAGAUCGAAAAGGAAAUGUAUGCAAUUGUAUUUGCUUGUGAAAAAUUUCAUUUUUACAUAAUGGGUCGAAACUUUGAGGUGGAAUCUGAUCAUAAACCUUUAAUUCCCAUAAUGAAAAAACCUUUAGCAGAAAUACCUGUUAGAUUACAAAAGAUGCGGUUAAGAUUACAGCACUAUGACAUAACAUUAAAAUACAAACCAGGAAAGUUAUUACAACUUGCUGAUUACUUGUCACGAAAUUAUUUAAAAGCUAAGGUUGAGGAGGAUGAUGAUUUUGAUUGUAGUAUAUUGUUAGUAGAUUUAAAAGAAAAAAUGAGUGUGAAACGAUAUGAAAAGUUUAAAAGGGAAACAGAUUGUGAUGAAGACCUAAAAUUAGUAAAAAAGUUAUUAUCUGAAGGAUGGCCGACUAAUGGUAAAAAUUUACCGGAUUCCUUAAAACCCUAUCAUACAUUUCACACUGAUUUACAUUUAAUGGAUGGACUAAUUUUCAAAAAACAUUGUAUCAUGGUCCCAAAAUCUUUGCAGAAAGACAUCUUAUCCAAAUUGCAUUAUAAUCACUUGGGUAGAGAGAAAACUAAAAUAAGAGCUAGAGAGUCGGUAUAUUGGAUAGGAAUUUCAAAAGACAUUGAUAAUUACAUUCAAAACUGUGAUACUUGUACAAAGCAUAGUGUAGAAAAUUACAAAGAACCUCUAUUACCACAUAAAAUUCCAAAGGAGGCUUGGCAAAAAAUAGGUGUGGAUAUUUUUCAUUUGUAUUCAAAAGAUUAUUUGUUAAUAGUGGAUUAUUUUUCAAAAUAUGUAGAAGUUAUAGCUUUACAGUCACUAUCUACAGAGGAGGUAAUAAAAGCAAUAAAACAGUGUUUUGCACGCUUUGGAAUUCCAAUUGAAUUAAAUAGUGAUGGAGGACCUCAAUUUACAUCUAUGAAGUUUAAAGAAUUUUCACAAAAAUGGGGCUUUCAGCAUACAGUUUCUUCGCCUUAUUAUCCCAGAAGUAACGGUAUGGUAGAAAGGCACAUACAAACUAUCAAAAAGAUGCUAAAAAAAUGCGUAGAAGAUAAAAAAGAUCCAUAUCUAGCAAUAUUAGAACUUAGAAACACCCCCAUCUCAAACAACAUUGAAUCACCUAAUCAAAUAUUGUUAGGUCGUAAAAUUAGAGGUCUGAUACCAAAUCUGGAAAGCAUCAGUAGUCAAAGUCAGCAGAAGGUCAGAAGCGAAUUAUUAAAAAGGCAAACUAAUCAAAAAUAUUAUUAUGACAGAAAUGUUAGGCCGUUGAAGGAGUUUUCAACGGGAGAAAAUGUAUUAAUAAAAAAUCACAAAAAUGGUACUUAUGACAGACAUGCAAAGAUAUUGGGUCCAUCAAAUAAACCUAGAUCAUAUAAUGUUAUAACUGAAUCGGGAAAUAUUGUUAAUAGAAAUAGAUAUCAUUUAAAAAAGAGCUCAAAAAAUUAUAAGUUUGUUGCAAGUGGUGUUAAAGAAAUAGAAUAUCCAAAGUUUAAUAGUUUCAAUGAGGCUAUAGAAGUUGAAAAUCCAGGAUUUAAUGAUUGUUAUGAGAAUGUAAGUCACCAGGACGCACUUAAUAAUAAACGUCUAUCACAGAAUGAAACCAGCAUAGAACCUAGCUGCAUUGUAGAAAAUAGAAUGGAAGAUAAUUUAAAUAAUCAUACAUCACAAAAUAAUUGUAAAAGGUCAAUUAAAGGUAGAGCCAUUAGGCUUCCUAAAUACUUAGAAGAUUAUGUGCAGGGUUAAUUAAUUAUAGUUAUGCUAAUUGUUUGUUUAUAGUCAUCUAGAGUUUUGUAUCAGAAUCAACUGAUAACAAAUGUAUGUAUCUUUUAAUUAAUUUGUUAAAAGGAAAGAUGUAACAUUAUUGUAAUGUGACAACACUACUGAGAAUAGACUAUAGAUUGGGUAUGUAUUGUCUGUGGAUAAUGGAGAGUAAAACAGGAUGUACAUGA